rnacentral:lncRNA from 1 species
UCUGAAUUACUCCUUUCUUUGUACAACAUUAGUUAAACAUUGCCUGAUUUGAAGGAUUUUUGUAUUAUGAAUUAUCAAUCUUUUCAAAUUAUUUAUACAAGUUUGCAAAGAUCGUCAUAUUUAUGAAAUAUUAUCUUUUAUUAAACAUGCACUCAAUAGUCUGUCCUCUUUUCAUCUCUGGGUUUCAUUUGUGCGUCUUUGUUCUACUGGUAAGUGUAAGUAUAAUACUAGGACCCUUCAAUCUUUCGACGUUUAAGUUUUCUCUUCGCCUUCUGACAAAAGAUGUUUUUAACAUGACAUUAUGUUCCAAAAUAUACCCUCGUACCGAUUUUGUUUAGUUGAGCCAAUUGCUGCUAAUGUUAUCAGUUUAUUCUUAUAUUGUGUGUGUAUACCAUUGUACCACAUUAGGCGAGGGUUUAACUCUCAUAGAUUUUUUAAACAAAGCCACAUUCUUUAUGUGCCUAUCUAAAUUUUGGAGUCUGUAGUUUAGUGGUUGUCGUUGUUUGUUGUCUGUCAAAUUUGUUUUUCAUUAAUUGUUUUUUAUAAAUUAGGUCAUUGGUUUAUCUCGUUUGAACUGUUUCACAUUAUUCAUGUCUGGUCCUUUUAUAGCUGACCAUACGGAUGUUUGUCUAUUAUUGCUUACGUUCACUUCAUUUAAAGUAUGAUGAAUAAUUGUAUCAUUGGCAAUCAUACCACUAUCCUCAUUUGUGUUUAUCAAAAGUCAAUUCUAAACCACAAUCAUACAUGUUUAUAUAUUAUUU